CCCCUCUAUGGGUUCCCUGCAGUACCUGGGGCAAUGGCCUCGCUGCUUGAUCUGCGCUGUAAUUCUCUCACCCGUGCUCGUAGUACAGGAGUGGGUUUCUUAAACCAUUCCUUCAUGUCUUCUCCAUGCUCCCGUAAGUAACUCCACAAGGCGGCUCGGGCCAUGGAUCUACCGCCGUCAUUAUUUGCUCGAGCAGGAAGGCGUCUGCCUUGGAGAGCUGAGACUUUUGAUGAUGCAGGUGAAGGGGAGAUUUCACCUUUAAUCAGUCGGAUCAGCUCCUUCAGCAGCCUCCUCAGAUCCUCCUGAUCUCCAUCGGGUGCUUCUGAUGCUGCAGAAACGGGUUCGUCACAAUCCAUCAAGAGGGACAAGUCCCCCAGUAAAGCGGCCUGAUUCUUCUUCAUUUUCUCCAGUUCUUCUUUCACUUCUGUGACGGCUGAAAUGGAAGCGUGAGAGGGGGGGAGGAUUUCCUCCAAGUUUUGAAGUGUAAGCAUCAGUUCAAAAACCGGGGGUCUCCUCUGCCGGCCCUCGUAUCUCUCAAAGGUUGCUGCCAGCGCACCCGCGUACGUUUCUGCUGCUGUUCGGGUGAGUUUCCGCCAGAGAUCUGGAGAACAUCUCAGUCUCUCGGGAUCGUGGUCCUGGCACGGGUUGUUAGGAACAAACCUGGGGUCAUACAGCAUUUCCACCACGGCCAUUUCUCUCAGAUACUGGAUGCCCUUUUCAGCAGUGUGCCACUUUCUCAUCUCGGGCUCCAGGUCGUCUUUGAAGGGAUAUCUUUCCUUCACGGCUAAUAACACUCGUUCCCAGAGGUUGGUGGCUCCGGGCAGACACCUGCCGAUCCCUCUGUCAACGGCUGAGUCUCUGGCAAUGCUUCCCAGCUGGCGAGCUUCGUUUCCAUCUAGAAUCAAGCUGCUGGCCCCCCUGUCCCAGCACCGAACCAACCAGGAGACAACGGCCUCGUUCGGGCGCCGCGCAAACUCAUUUCUCCAGCCUUGGAUCUCAGUCCUAUCCAGAGGUUGGCGAGCAGUGGUAGCAGUGCCUCCCUCCUCCUCGCUCUCCUCUCCGUGUCUCUUUGUUUCUUCCCUUGCCCUUCUCGGUGCCGGGGGUUUUGGGGAGGGCCCCUCGCCCGGAUCUUCCUCUCCUUCCUCCCCUGCUGCUGCUGCUGCUGCUGCUUCUUCCCGUUCUUGACGCGACGACCCCGGGGCUCCCCACGCUUCUAAGACGUUUCCCAGCCCUCUCCAGAUUCCCUGCCACUCCGCAUUCUCCGGUUUCGGGGAAAGUUUCCUCCAGAUGAUGUAAAUUAUCAUGAGGAGGAAUACAUUCAGGGCAAUUGAGAUCAGGUCCAUUAACUCGGGAUUCCAAAAGGGCGUGAGGAACUGAGAGGAGAACCUGGAAACCGGUCCCAGCAUUGCGCCGGUUGUGAAAUCAGCCACUGCCUCCGAGGGGUGCAGGCACCAGGCAGGAAUCUGCAGCAGCGCCCUGACCUCGAUGGAUGCACACACAGCUCCAGCACAGCACACGAUGAGCUCAGCGAGAAACCAACCCGUCCCCAGGAACACGACGGCCGUUAAUCCUCGACGCGGCGCUGCUGAACUGCAGAACACAUUCACAGCCGGCAGCCGCUGGGACAAGAAAGAAGGGAACAGAAACUGGGUUCAGUGCUGGAGCCUGGCAGGCCACGGCCUCUGCCCUCAGCCCUGCGGGUCAGAGCCGCCCACAGCGCCCUGCAGCUCCCCGACCUUAAGGAAUCGUUUUUUUUUUUCUUUUAACAUUAAAAGAAUUCAGGUUGGGUUCAGACCUACCCGCGUUCUCCAGCCUUAAUUGUCACGGAGCUAUCUCUGAUCGAGCUGCGUCCCUGAUGGUGUGGGAAUCGAAUGUUGUUUCUGCGUUAGAACAAGAGAAUUUCCUUAAUUUCAUGGCCUCUGCUGCCACCUGGGUCCCGUAUUAGAACCCAUAGUUCUUUUCAGGGGGCUUUCUACUUUACUGGGGUUCUCUGAUAGUUUUCACGACUUAUUCUCUGGAUAAACCUUCCCCAGCAAUGCAUACUCAGUGUAUCAGUAACGGAAUAUAUCCAUCCAUAUAUAUCCAGAGAGAUGAGGUGCAUGGAGUCAGCACGGAGACUGCAGCUCCCGUCUGUGCAGCCAGCUGAGAAACCGCCGGGCCUUCAGUUAAAGGCAGGCGAGGUGU
ensembl:lncRNA